rnacentral:rRNA from 1 species
CACCGCGGUUAUACGAGAGGCCCAAGUUGACAGACUUUCGGCGUAAAGAGUGGUUAAUGGAAGAUUAUACUAAAGCCGAACGCCUUCAGAACUGUUAUACGUACUCGAAGGUAAGAAGCCCUACCACGAAAGUGGCUUUAUACACUUGACCCCACGAAAGCUGUGAAA